ACACGUCCAAUGUUGGCUUCCGUACAUCUUAGACCAAACUAUCAGCUGUUGCUCAAUCCUACUACUGACCAGGUACAGAUGAGGAACACUUAUGGAGCAUGUGAUCAAAAAACAUAAAAGCACUUAUCCUUAAUUAGGACUUUGGAGCAUGGACAUCUUUGAAAUAUUUAUAAAACACAGGACAUUCCUACACAUUGGCUGCUACUUCGGACAACGGAGGCCCUUCUUCCCAGAGCUUUUUGCGGGCUUUUUGAACAAAGAAGCACACCUGGAAUGUCUACGUAGCCCAGCACUAGAAAGUCAAAGAACUUUAAGCUCCCAGAUGGGGACGUGGAUAGAGGCAAGAGAGACCAGAGAUCAUAGGAUGAGACUAUUUAAAGCCACAAUGGAAACAAAUGCGAGCCUUCAAAAUUCCAUGAAAGUAGGCUAGAUCCUAUUGAGGAGCAAGAAAUUCUGGUAGAGGUAGUUAGAAAAAAAUGAACCAAAAAUGAAAAAAAAAAAAAAAGGGGGGGGGCAAAAUGGAGAAGAAUAUUUUCAAUGGAGAAUGUGAAAGCCACAGAUGAAUCAGAUUUGACAUAUGUUGUUAAAAUAUAUACUAAAUGACCAGGUAGGAAUUUAUCCUACAGAAAUAAAUAAUUCUGUUCACAUAACAGUGGC
rnacentral:lncRNA from 1 species